AUGAUGACAUCUAUUGCCCAAGUCUUAACACAUUCACCAUGUUAAGUUUUCCUCCAAGUCGUGGAUUCUAACUGCUGUUCUCACUGAUUCUGUAAACUUUAGUCUCUUUGGAGAUUGGCCUGAUAUCUUCCCCAUUUAUUCUCUGUGCUGUUGCUGAAAAAUCUCACAGCUUGACUCUGGUGUAACUCUUCUCUCAUAAGAGAAACUCCAAGCGGCUCUGCAGAAACUGAGGAAGAAGUAGCAGGAAGCUGAGAUGUUGGAAGCUGUCAUCAGAGAAGAGAAUACUUUCUGCAAGGUAGGAGGAGAUACCUCCUGAGGAAGUUAGAUAAAAACAUAGACGGGACCUUGAGUGUUAGUCACAGGAGCUCCCUUCCUUUUUGUUCCCUGAGAGUCGAUAUGUCCAGAGGUCAUUUGGUUAGUCCUCUUCUUUUAUCCUUUCCCCAAUAAAGGUGAAGGCUGAAAAGUGAACAUGUUAUAAAUGAACAGAUGUUGAGAGGGAGAUAUUCGCAUAGAGGGUGGCUAGUAAAUUUUAUGUUACAUUCCUGAUGUGAUUUUGAGUCUUUUCUCUUCUGAGGGAAAGACAAUUAGCAAUGACUCAUGGUUCUGUCUGCAUUGCUCAACUUUCAGCUGAGGGUGAGGGGAUAGGGGUCAGGAAUAAAGCAAGGAGACUUGGUUGUCCUGGAAAGCUGUGUGAAAGCUGAGCCACAUACACCCAAGGAUCCUAUCUGGGUCAGGGUUGGCCUCAAUAAUGCAAACUUGAAGCCAUUAUUUUGAAAUGCGAUGGAGAAAAAAAAAAAAAAAAAGGAAGAGUUAGCUUCCCCACAAGUUGCUCCCUUGCUUCUCUCUCAUUUCCCUUUGAGAACUUUUCAAGGAAAAUAGUUCUCUUUCUAGCUCUCAGUCUCUGCCUGAUAGCCUGAGUAUCUCUCUCUCUUUCUCAUUCCAAAGAAUCAAAUGCAAAAUGAGAAAAGGCUUGUCUAGGCACAGUUUAAAAAACUAAAGACUAUCCUGGAGCAUGAGGAACUGAGGAUGGUGCAGAAGCUGCAGUGCCAGGAGAAUGCUGUUCUCAAUACCCAGGGUACAUCAUGCAUUGGUGAUGAGCUGGUCCAGCAAAGCCAGAUGUAAGAGACCUGAUCUCGGUUCUGGAGCAUCAGCUUCAGGGGUCAACAGUAAACAUGCAGCAUGUAAGACUCCAGAAAAAGCCCCAACAUCUAGGAUUUGAGAAAAAUGAAGACCAAGUUUCCUUCUCUCCUCUCCCAUGGUGCUUUGCUCUUCCUGGUGAUGACACUAAGUUUCCCUUGGCCUUGCGGUGCCUCUUUCCUGUAUCUAUGUCAGAGGUUAUAAGGAUAAAUAACAAGGGACAAUCUCAUAUUUUUUUUUCAUCAAGUGCAGUACAGAGAUCUGAUUGUGGCGAGAAUUUGCAUUGUAUCCAGGGAAGUCUAGAGGCCUCUAUGAACAGUGACCUAGUGCUAAAGACUACCAGGUUCCUCUUCAUGAUUCAGCUUGGUCACAGAUAGAUGAACUUCACAUUCUAAGACUUUUUUUUUUCCCUCAUAGGAUAAACUAAGGUUUUUUUUCUUCCUCUUUUUCCAUUUUCUGAAAAACAAACAAACAAAAAACAAAUUGUGAAGGACUAGUAUUACUUAUUCUUUAAAUAUUCAAUAGAAUUUGCCAGUAGAACUAUCUCAUUCUAGGCUUUUCUUUUUCAAAAGGUUUAAAAUACUUUUUAAAAAUAUGUAUUAGGUUUAUUUACAUUUUUUACCAUUCUUAAGUCAGGUGCGGUUUUUUGUUGUUGUUUGUUUUUUGUUUGUUUGUUUGUUUUGUUUUUUGCUUUUUAAAGAUUUUGAGAGAUUGAGCACAAAUGGGGAGGUGAGGGAGAAGCAGGCUCCCCUCGAACAGGGACCCCAAUGCAGGGCUUGAUCCCAGGAUCCCUGGCCCAUGACCCAAGCCAAAGGUAGACUUAACUGACUGAGCCACUGAGGUACCCCUUAAGUCAGGUUUUGAUAAUAAAUGUCUUUGUAGGGAUUUGUCCACUCCAAGUUGUCUCAUUUGUAGAUAUAAGGUAGUCACAAUAAUCCUUUAUAAUCCCUCUGAUUUCUACAGCACACACAGUAAUGUCCACUCUUUUAUACCUGGUUUUGGUGAUGUGCUUUUUCUCUCUCUCUUUUUUUUUUUUCUUGGACAGUUCAGUUGUCUUUGGUCAAUUUUAUUGAUUUUCUUCAAGAACAAACUUUAUUAUUUCAUCAACUUUUUAAAUCUUUCUAUAUCAUUUGUGUCUGCUCUCAUCUUCAUUGUUUCCUUUGUAUAAGUGUGACUGCACACAUGAACAUGAAUUUGUGCAUGGAUGAACAUGAAUGUGUGUGCAUGCAUGAACACAAGUGUGUGUAUGUAUGCAUAUAUGAACAUGAGUGUGUGUGUAUGUGUGUGUGUGUGUGUAUUGGGUUUAAUUUGCCAUUCUUUGUCUAGUUUCUUAAAGUGAAAACUUUAAUUAUUUAUUUGAGGUGAUCUUUUCUGAUAUAGUAUUUAAUGAUAUAAAUGCAAUGAUUUAGGUAUAUUCCAUAUAUUUUGAUUGAUUAGUUGUUAUUUUCAUUUAGUUCUACUUAUUUUCUAAUUUCUUUUGUGAUUCUUUUUUUUUUUUUUUUUUUUGGUUAACCCUUGGGAAUAUUUGAAAGUGUGCUUUUUAUCUAUUUUAUAAAAAUGUUUUUAUUUAAAUUCCGGUUAAUUAACAUACAGUGUCAUAUUAGUUUCAGGUGUACAAUAUAGUGAUUCAAAACUUCCAUACAACAUCUAGUGCUCAUCACACUCCUUAAUCCCCAUCACCUAUUUAUUCUAUCCCCCAUUCACCUCCUCUCUGAUAACCACUAGUUUGUUCUCUAUAAUUAAGAGUCUGUUUCUUGAUUUGCCUCUUUUAUUCCCCUUUGCUCAUUUUUUUCUUAAAUUCUACAUGAGUGAAAUCAUGAUAUUUGCCUUUCUUUGACUGACUUAUUUCACUUAGCAUAAUACUCUCUAGCUCUAUUCUUUUUUUAUGACUAAUAUUCCAUGGUGUGUGUGUGUGUGUGUGUGUGUGUGUGUGUGUGAGUGAGAUAUAUACUACAUCUUCUUUAUCAUUCAUCAGUUGAAGGACACUUGUGCUGUUUCUUAACUUGGCCAUUGCAGAUAAUGCUACUGGAAACAUUGGGGUGCAUGUAUCCCUUUGAAUUAGUAUUUUUGUAUUCUUUGGGUAAAUACUUAGAAAGCGUGCAGCUUAAUUUAACAACACUUGAUUUCUUAUAUUUUCUUCUGUGGAUUUCUUUUUUUUUUUUUUUUAAAGAUUCUAUUUAUUUGUUCAUGAGAGACACAGAGAGAGAGGCAGAGACAUAGGCAGAGGGAGAAGUGGGCUCCCUGCAGGGAUCCGAUGCAGUACUCAAUCCCAGACCCCAGGAUCAUGCCCUGAGCUGAAGGCAGACACUCAACCACUGAGCCACCCAGGCUUCUCUGCUGUGGAUUUAAAAUUUAAUUUCUUUGUAAUCAGAAAACACAUAUUUUAUUAUUUCACUAUUUAAAUGUAUUGAUAAUUGUUUUAUGGACUAUAAUAUUGUAUGUCCAGAAAAUUUUUCUAUGCAAAUUUGAGAAGAAUGUGUAUUCUUCAUUUAUUAGAUAAAAUGGUUUAUUAGUUAGAUUAUUAUUAGUUAUUAUUAUUAGUUAGAUUAUUAUUAUUAGUUAGAUCAAAUUGGUUAAUAAUAUCAUCUAUGUCUUCUGUAUCUUUGAUGAUGUUCAUACAAGCUAUUUUAUCAAUUAUUGAGAGUGAGCUACUAAAUUGUCUAUUUUUCUUUUUAUUCCUUUCAAUUUUGCUUUGUGUAUUUUGAAACUCUGCUGUUGAGUAAAUUUACAUUUAUAAUUGUUAUAUCCCUUCUUGAUCUACUGAACCUUUUAUCAUUCUGAAAUUUCCCUCUCAUUCUCUCAUAAUAUUUAUUGUCAUAAAGUCUAUUUUGUCUAAUAUUAAUAUAGACACAAGCUUUUUUAUGAUUACUGCUUGCACGGUGUAUAUUUUUCUAUCUUUUUCCUUUCCUGUAUUUGUGUCUCUGGAUCCAAAAUAUGUCUCUUGUAGAUAGCAACAGUUGAAUCUUGCCUUUUAUCUAGUCCAAUGAUCAUUGCUUUUUAAUAGGGGUAAUAAGACAGUAACAUGUAGCAUAAUUGUUGAUGUGGCUGUAUUUACAUUUAUCAUAUUUAUCAUAUUGCUUUUUUUCCAUAUGUUGCCUGCAGUUUUCAUUGUCUUUUCUCCUUAACUUGCCUUGUUUGAGUUAAACAAAUAUUUCUUUUCUUUUUAAAAGGGGGGGGCCAAAUUACUUUAUUAUUUAAAAAUUUGAGUACAACCAAUUUUAUUGGCAUUAAAAUUAGAGGUAUCUUAAAUUUGAAUGAAUAAACCAAAAACCAGAAAUUAAGUUUGGUAAAAAUGGGAAUAGUUUUCCAGUAAUUACAGAUUAGAAGGCAGAAAUCAAUUUAGAGAAAUAUAGACAAACCCCAUGUUUACAAUGAUUGUGCCACAGAUUUAAACUUCAGUAGUGCAUUAGUAAACUGUUCACAUUUAGAUCUUCACCUUGAGAUAGCUGUUCCUUUAAAAAAAAUCUCAGUACCUUGUGCAAAUAAAUCGGUCUUCCAUAUGCCUUAGCACACUUAAAAUUUCUCCAUCGUAUGUAUACAAAACACCUACCGUUCGGCAGGGCAAAAUACAUACUUUCAUAACAAAACUAUAAUGUACGUCUCAAGUAUGAACAAUAUACACAUAAUACAUGGUAUACAGUAUUUACAAAAUAUAAAAUAUAAUACAAGUUGUUGGUUGUAAUUUUUUCAACUCAUCUUUUGCACUUGUAAGUUACAAGGCAAAUUUUCAUUUCUGUACCAAUUCUCUUUUCAAGAGUCCAGAGAUUUUGGAAACUGACAGACAUUGCAAUCUGAGAUCUAAGUUUGAACUUUUAGGAGAGUUUUUAAGUAUACCGCCAUCAACUCCCUAUUUUGGUUGGAAUUUUCAAUAGUGCUUCCCAUCCAGUGACUAGGAGGCUUUGGAAGAACACUGGGAGAAGGUGGAUCACUAAACUUUGCCCCAGCACACUUUUCCUUUUGGCUCACUUCAGUUAGAAAUGCUGAUUUCUUCAAAUGCAUAUUUUUAAUAUUCUCAGUGUUUUUAAAAGGCUUUUUUUUUUUCCUGCUUCUGAAUUAAAGCGGAUGAAACAGAAUCCUGCCAAAAGUUAUUUCCAUUUCUUUUUGCAGAGGUGAUCUCGGCUAAUGGUAAGUUAUAUUUGCUUUUCUGUCUGUUUAUCUUUGGUUGUUCACACAAGUGUAUACCAUGAACAAGCUGGCCGUGGCGAAUGGCAAUUUUCUCCGAUUUUCCCAUCUUUGAUCUUAAAACCUCUCUUCUGAACGAGGGUUGGCCGGGCGCCGGGGCGGCAGCGGGCCAGGGAACGGGCUCGCUUCCUCAGGUUGGGCUGCCCCGCGGGCACUGGGUGUUAUUCUGUAUGUUGGUAAAUUGAACACCAAUAAAAAAUUAAUUUAUUAAAAAAAAAACAUAAAAAAAAAAAAA
rnacentral:lncRNA from 1 species